GCGGAGUACGGGCUUCAAUCGCUUCGGACACUCCCUGCGUUGGAGUCAGGUAAGCAUAAGGAUCGUAGCCCCAACGAGUCAAAUACUGAGCUGAAACGACACAACUGAGCACGAAAAACAAGGCCACAACCUGAUUGAACAAGUUCUUCAUUUUCCCUUUGGAUUGCGAUCGUCCACGAAACUUGGCCGUAAGUGAACAAAACUGGUCGGACAGCCAGCCUUUAUAUACUUCUUGUCUUGUGGUUCACAUUAUUCAAAUCGAAAAAGACAUCCGUGUAAUUCUUCCUGUCGUACUGGGCCUUUUUGAUUUGAUACGGCCUAUGUAACACAUGUGGUGGUACGUAUAGGCAGGGUAUCAGAUGACUUUUAGACGGAUUGUUGUGUUGGCGUGAUACCCGCCGACAAGAUUGAAUCUUUGUAAUGGCUAGUCUUUCCGCAGAUAUCAAAAUAUUGUGGCAAAAGAAGCUAUAUCAGAGGAUAACGGCGGCUGAGAUUGGAACCCUCCGGUUUCUAUGAUGAACACCAUCGACCACAAAAAAUUUCACGUUCAGGUUUUUUAGCAUACUGUGAUUGGUUUUUGAUUUGUUGGUUGCGUGAUGGACGUUCGUUUUGGUCGGCAUCUUCCGAUUUCGUGGAAUGGCUCUGAUAGUUCCGUUUGUAUCAUGAAACAUCUAGUCAUCGUUUAAAAAUUUUACUCUUUAAUCUGUGCUUAGGUUUCAUUCUUCUAGAAUAACAAAAUCGCGCAGCUAUUCGGCCGGUGGCUGACGAAAAUGAUUGCGUGGGUUAUUCCCUCACUGGGUAAUCGGAUACGCCGGUUGGUUUUCUUCUAUUUUAGUUAUCUAGAUUUUCGAGAGCGGUAGAAACAGGUACGUUCGUUAUGCAUAAAACUAGCGCUAAUUUAUGCUAGACAAGUCUCUGGCUUCAGUACGUUCUCCUCUAACGGACUGGCGUUCACCACACACAGAAAUGCGUGUAGUAGGUGUGCAGCCAACCGGUUUUAAUCGCUGUUCAUGCCUUCGUUCGGUUAACGUGAGGCCGAUGAGAGAAAACUGGAGGAUAUUGUUUAUUUGUAGUUUAUUUUUGUUAUUCAUUUUUAUUUUUAUAGGGGGCUGGGCAUGGGUAAGCAAAGUGAUGUCAUUUUUGUCCUUUAACCUACACCCAACGAUCUGUUUGAAGGGGGCGGAUUCAAGGACAAUUUUUUCUUCUUUCCUUAAUGCCUGUCGUUAGUGGUGUCAGUAGUGUCUACUGUCAAGCUGCGUGAGAAUCAUGUAUGGCAAGCCAAAUGUACCGACCGAAACGAAUGAUGAUCCGUGCGCAAUUCCAUGUAUCUGUAGGGGAUACUGUGUGGCAGUACCUUCUGGUGUUUCAAACAUGCUUCGAGUUUAUUUUAAAUAAUCGUAUAUAGUUUUGAUUUACAUAAAAACAUUCCUAAUAUUACAGGAAAUCUAGGUAUUAUAAUUUCCAUUUCCAUUUUAUUUUUUUUCUAACUUACCCCUUGUCUACACCCAGACGACUUUCUAGAAGGGGGCGUUUUCUUGUACAAUUCUUUCUUAACUUCGUGCCCAUUGCUUUCUCAGCGUACAGCUCCGAGUGGAUCAUGUGCUGUGUCGUGACCGAAAGGACGGCUUUGGAACUUCGACAAAAGUGUGGGUCUUGAAUGGGGACUGAAAAACCCUCGACUCUUGGUCCAAUUAUUAUCCUCUUGGUUUUUAAAUUAUUGGGAACUAAGCAAUUCAACUUUAUUUCUGGCUUCGAAUUCACUUGGUGUGUGUGUGUGUGGUUUACUUGUGACAAAUUGAUUAAAAAUGACUAAGAAGAAGUGAAUGUAGAACUAAAUCGCUUAAACGUUGUGACCUUAAGAAACGCAAGUGACGGUAACUACCUCCCAUUUAUGUGUUCGGUGUAGACAGACUCUAAAGUUAUUUACUAAGGUCUUUUUAUUUUUCCGGAUAGGUUGGACGUAGCAACAGGGACAUGGGUGAGUAAAAGAACAUCAUCUCUAUCCAGCCUUUUCUUACCUUAGAUUUUCUUUUUGCUCGAAAGAGGAGGGAUUCUAUGUCUAUGCGAUGGCUUUGUAACAUCCGCUAGUGCGGAUACGUGCAGGAAAGAAGUCGAGUUGGCCACUGUUUUGUUUUUUUGGUGAUCAAAGAAAAACUUAGUGUUUAUUUGCCAGCGAAGAGAAGAAAGCAAAAGAAAGGCAAAGGUUUGCGUACAACAAUUUCAACAUGACCCCGGGGAAACUCACGUCCCUCUUACAGCGAAUUGGCAAUUUCUUCUUGUAAAAGCCAGCCAUUGAAAGUCGUUAAAUAGUCGGUGGCCAGUAGCUUCCCGUUACUACUCAUUUCAUCCAUCUGCAUCCAGAUGUUAUCGCCGGGAAGCAACUCUAGAGUAGACUGAAGAAUUAUCGGACUUAGAUAAGUACCAGUUGCUGGAAGGGUGGUGACUUCGUACAACGCAGCGAUCGCUACUGCUUGGCCAUUUUUGUAAAUAUAAAUUCUUGUCUUUGGGCCAACGGCAUUUGCCGCAAACCCUACGUGUGAAGUAAAAGAAAAGAAGUAGGUUCCUUUAACGGGUGGUUCGAAUUUCCCGGUUGCUAUCGUCAUGCCAUUGCCACUGUUGACCAUCGCGUUCUCGUAGGGAAUGGGUACGCGCGUUAGCGCAAAAUCUGUAAUUCUCUGUACGUAGAAGUAGAUUGGCUUUGAUUUUAUGUCUUGAUAACCAAUCCACUUUUGGAUACCUGGAAAUUGCGAGUUAAAAUGAAUUCAAAAUUUGUUAUUGUUGGUCUUUUUUUUUUUUGGUUUUCGCUGAUCGAAUUACUUGGAUCGCUAACAUUUUUGGUGAAAUCGCAGUAAACGGUUUCGACUUGUUUGCUACCCAUGACAGAGAAGAGUCCACUUCUUGUAUUGCCAACAGUUUGCAGGUCUUCACAGGAACUGGGGAUUUUAUCGAUGGUCUUUGGAUCGUCAGCUGAACAAGUGCACUUAAACGCUGUAAAUUCGUACACGUUAUUAGACUUUUUGCUCUAAUUUCUUAUGGUUUCAGGUAUUACCAUCGACUUUUUUGGCUAAAUCCGUUAAUUUUGCAUCAGUCUCUGAUAACUCUAUUGGUAAAGUUCUGGACAAUCACAUCAAUGAGUGCCAUUGUUCCGAGGACAGGGAAAUGCCGCAUUGGAGGCUGUUCUCCGGGUUCCAGUUGUGCGGCAAUGGGAGAGUUAAACAAAUUGUUCUGUGCCGAAGGUGGGAGGGCAACGUAAGGACGAAAGCCAUGAAGAUUUUGAUUCCAAUUUCCAGGCAAUUGACCGUAAACGAUACCCGCUAGAACGGAGAAAAGGGCGACAAACUGCUGGCGGACGACCAACGAAUUGAACAUUUUCUAAAUUGUAAAAAGAAAAAUCGAUGACUUACGGAAUGCUUCAUCGUGGCUCGUGCAAACGGUGGCUGAUGAAAACGGUUGUACAAUGGCGACAAUAGUCGAGGUGAGAAUCAUUCUUCUUUAUAUACCUUCCGCCAUUGGGUUGGAUGCUACCCCCAAAAAAUUAGAAAGGAAAAAGAAACAGGUUACACUGAACUAUGUAAGCGGUUAUAGGGUGGCUUUGAUUGGAUUAAAUCGAUGAUUAGACGGGGCAUUUACGCCAUCUUGUUUUCUUCCAUUUUGGUUAGCAUGAAGGACGGGAGUUCUGUUCCUUAUAAUACCAUAUGAUUUCUACCAUUUGGUUGGAGGUUCCUCUUAAAAAACUGGUUGCGCCUAACUAAUGAAAACGGGCGUUGACGGUUUUUAAUUUGAUUGAACAAUCGAUUUUAAAAGGUUGCUGGGUACGCCAUCUGGUUUUCAUCCAUUUUGGUUGCUAUAGGUCUUGAUUUCAAAAGAGACGGGAGGAAAAGGUUUCUUGUGCAUACUACAAGCGCUAAUUUAUGCUAGACGGGUACUGACUUCAGGGUGGUAACCUUGUACAGUACGUUUUUUUGUUUUAGCUGGCGUUCAUCAAGGUUACCUUCUCUUACGAAAUUCUAUGGUACAACGUGGGGUGUUCACUUGACAAGUCAUUUAGCCACAACUGAAACCAAACGAUGUAUCUUAUCGUAUACGCGUAGGAAGAUUUUAACUCUUCCUUUUGUGUAUUGCUUCAGCUUUUUACUAUUCAUAGGCAGCUGGGCAGGAAAAUCGGCGAAAGACUGACAAGGGUAAGAAAAGGGAUGUCAUUCGUUUGUAACCCACCCUUGCCUACACCCACGGAUCACCCUUCCCAUAGAAAAUAUAUAUAUCUUAUUAAAUAAUACACUUGAAUCUUCUAUCUAUCCAUCUAUCCUUCUAUAUCUAUUCUAUCUUCUACUUAAAGGUUAUGAAAAACUUGAAUUUGAUUUUAUUUUUGUUUAUUACCUUUGCAUUUAGUUGGAAGGUUUGUUUUUUCUUAAGUGACUGGUAUGAAAUCGGCGAGACGGGUACCCAGGUAAGCAAAAUCGUGUCAUCCCUUUCCUACACCCAAAGUUCUAGCUUUAGAGGCGGGGUGCAUUCUAAAGCAAUUUACAUUUUUUAAAUUAUUAUUUUUAUUGUUUGAUUUUAUUUUGUUAGUUUUCUUUUGUUUUAGCGCCCGUAGUAUACUGUCAAAAACCUACGCUUUGCACGAACUCACGCUUCCCUACAAUGAAGCGACAUCAAUUUCUUCUUCUAAAAGCAAGCCGUUAAAAUGUGUGCUAGGUUCUAUAGUGAUGUCGAAUAGAAACCCUCCAUUGAUGUUAUUACUCUGCACCCAGACUUCGUCUCCGGCUUUCAGCGCUAGCAGGGUUUGAACACUUAUUGGACUUAGAUGAUCACGGUUUGCAAUGCCGUUCACUUCGUUCAACUGACUACGUGCCACUCCAUAACCAUUGUGGUAAAUCAUUACGUUUAGCUCUAUGAGAGAUGCGGUUGAAACAUAAAAUUGUGCAAGUCCACUAAAAGAAAAGAAGUAAGUUCCUUUAACGGGUGCUGUGAAUUUCCCGGAUGUAUUGGCGGAUGGUAUGAGCCUAUAUGGCAGAGGUUGAGAUACCUUAUUUGUUAAAAUUAUUUUCUUACCAUUCCACCCAUUUUUGCUUAACUUUUCUUCCUAACAUCAAUUCUGACUAGUGGUGAUGUUGAUGGAAUUUAGUAGUUUCUUAGGACAUGGCGCAAAUAUCAGAUCAUGAUAAUAACACAUUCCUGAAUCAAGUUUAAGCUUAACCUGUCAUGGGAUUCCUCUAGUUAAGAAAAAAAAAAACAAUUGUUACCCGCUUUUACCGUCCUAAAUGGACUCGUGUCGCGUUACUAUGUUUAAUCACGUGACAUCGUGCAGCUAUUUGCAUUCGGUCCCUUCGAAUAUUAAUUUUCUGUCUACACUGUUGUGACCGGUGGACUGUGUACAAAAGGUCAAUGAUGUUUUCUUUGUAUCCGUCUGCCAUUUGAUAGAAUUCUGCCCUUGAAAACAGGUUCCACUUGGCUCGAUGUCUUUUGCUGGGCAUCGGGUACGCCGUUUGGCUGCCGACAGGUUUUGUUACCUUGUUACCUUUUAAGUAUGGAGAAAAAGGUAUUUUCUAGUGUCCAGAAAACCUCUCGGCAGACGUGGCAGUUAUUUGCUUGUUUGUUUUGAUUGUUUUUUUUUUCAAAGGGAGCUGGGCGUGGAAACCGGCGAGACGGACAUAUGGGUAAGCAAAAUGCUGUCAUUUAAUCUCGAAAGCCUCCCAAUCACAAGCAUCCAUCAGCCUUACAUUAAGUGGGUGUAUUUUUUUGAAUUUUGCGCGAGACACUGUGUCCGCCUCGCGCAAAGAGGGUGUCGAUUGCAAGUGAAAUGAUGGCUCUGGAAUCGUAAAAAAUAAAAGGGUGUGGUUCGAAAUGUGA